rnacentral:rRNA from 1 species
AUAGAAUCUGCCUUGUACAGGAGGAUAGCCUUUAGAAAUGAAGAUUAAUACUCCAUAGUUUAGGGAUGUGGCAUCACAUUCUUAUUAAAGAUUUAUCGGUACAAGAUGACUAUGCGUCCUAUUAGCUAGAUGGUAAGGUAACGGCUUACCAUGGCUACGAUAGGUAGGGGGUCUGAGAGGACUAUCCCCCACACUGGUACUGAGACACGGACCAGACUCCUACGGGAGGCAGCAGUGAGGAAUAUUGGUCAAUGGAGGCAACUCUGAACCAGCCAUGCCGCGUGCAGGAAGACUGCCCUAUGGGUUGUAAACUGCUUUUAUACAGGAAGAAACAGGUCUACGUGUAGAUCCUUGACGGUACUGUAAGAAUAAGCACCGGCUAACUCCGUGCCAGCAGCCGCGGUAAUACGGAGGGUGCAAGCGUUAUCCGGAAUCAUUGGGUUUAAAGGGUCCGCAGGCGGUCAAUUAAGUCAGAGGUGAAAUCCCAUAGCUUAACUAUGGAACUGCCUUUGAUACUGGUUGACUUGAGUUAUACGGAAGUAGGUAGAAUAAGUAGUGUAGCGGUGAAAUGCAUAGAUAUUACUUAGAAUACCGAUUGCGAAGGCAGCCUACUACGUAUAUACUGA